rfam:Paxillus involutus ATCC 200175 unplaced genomic scaffold PAXINscaffold_318, whole genome shotgun sequence.
AGCAGCAGAGUGCAUCACAAUUAUGCUAGGCCCUCGCCUUUUACUAGGGCCUACCGUGUGACGUACUCACUCGAAUGCUGCGCAUCAAUCUUUGGAAUCAGUACUUUCUAGUGCAU